rnacentral:rRNA from 1 species
GAGUUUGAUCAUGGCUCAGGAUGAACGCUGGCGGCGUGCCUAAUACAUGCAAGUAGAACGCUGAAGCUUGGUGCUUGCACCGAGCGGAUGAGUUGCGAACGGGUGAGUAACGCGUAGGUAACCUGCCUGGUAGCGGGGGAUAACUAUUGGAAACGAUAGCUAAUACCGCAUAACAGUAGAUAUUGCAUGAUAUCUGCUUGAAAGGUGCAAUUGCAUCACUACCAGAUGGACCUGCGUUGUAUUAGCUAGUUGGUGAGGUAACGGCUCACCAAGGCGACGAUACAUAGCCGACCUGAGAGGGUGAUCGGCCACACUGGGACUGAGACACGGCCCAGACUCCUACGGGAGGCAGCAGUAGGGAAUCUUCGGCAAUGGGGGAACCCUGACCGAGCAACGCCGCGUGAGUGAAGAAGGUUUUCGGAUCGUAAAGCUCUGUUGUAAGAGAAGAACGAGUGUGAGAGUGGAAAGUUCACACUGUGACGGUAUCUUACCAGAAAA